AAAUGAUGAAAUCACCCCAAAGAGCUGGAAUUAGAUUGGUAGUGUUAAAUCUACAGUUUUCUGAAG
ensembl:snoRNA